UUCGCAAUGCCCGAAAGGGUGACGAAGCGACGCCGCGUGCGGGAAGAAGGCCUUCGGGUUGUAAACCGCUGUCGGGAGUUAAGAAAUGCAAGGAUAUUAAUAGUAUCUUUGCUUGACUAAGGCUCCGGAGGAAGCCACGGCUAACUCUGUGCCAGCAGCCGCGGUAAUACAGAGGCGGCAAGCGUUGUUCGGAAUUAUUGGGCGUAAAGAGCACGUAGGCGGCUAUGUAAGUCGGUUGUGAAAGCCUUCCGCUCAACGGGAGAACAGCAUCCGAUACUGCGUAGCUUGAGUGCGGGAGGGGAGAGUGGAACUUCUGGUGGAGCGGUGAAAUGCGUAGAUAUCAGAAGGAACGCCGGCGGCGAAAGCGGCUCUCUGGCCCAUAACUGACGCUGAGUGUGCGAAAGCUAGGGGAGCAAACGGGAUUAGAUACCCCGGUAGUCCUAGCCGUAAACGAUGGGCACUAAGUAGAGGGGUUUU
rnacentral:rRNA from 1 species